rnacentral:rRNA from 1 species
CAAGGGACCGCUUGGAUUCUGUGAAGAUGAAGAACGUAGAAGUAUACGAUAAUUCACUUGGAUAUUCAAAAGUGAAAAGUGAUAUUUGAUAACACCCCUUGGACUUAAGCAUAUCAUUAGAGGGAGGAAAAGAAACUAACAAGGAUUUUCUUAGUAGUGGCGAAUGAACAGAAAUAAGCCCUUAUGGUAAACUUAAUUGUGUUGUAAAUAAUAGCAAAUUGAUACUCUUGAAAUAGAGACCAAUAUAGGGUGAAAGGCCCAUAAUGCUAAUAUAUAGGGUAGAGUAGUUUUGUUUGGUAGUGCAGAAUGAAUUGGUGGUAGCGAUCAUCAAAGGCUAAAUACAACAGAAUACCGAUAGCGAAUAAGUAGCGUGAGCGAAAGCGAUAUAUCUGAAAAGAUAUGUAGAUAAGCGAAAUUGCAUAUGAGGAAGCCAUUUUAAUGGACCCGUCUUGAAACACGGACCA